rnacentral:rRNA from 1 species
AGAGCCCAAACCAAGAAGCUUGCUUCUUGGGGUUGUAGGACACUCUAUACGGAGUUACAAAAGAAAGUUAUAAAUGAAGCGGUCUGGAAAGGCCCGCCAAAGACGGUAACAGCCCGGUAGUUGAAAUAGCUUUCCCUCCAGAGUGGAUCCUGAGUACGGCGGAACACGUGAAAUUCCGUCGGAAUCCGGGAGGACCAUCUCCCAAGGCUAAAUACGCCCUAGUGACCGAUAGUGAACCAGUACCGUGAGGGAAAGGUGAAAAGCACCCCGGAAGGGGAGUGAAACAGUUCCUGAAACCGUGUGCCUACAAGUAGUUAGAGCCCGUUAAUGGGUGAUAGCGUGCCUUUUGUAGAAUGAACCGGCGAGUUACGAUUUGUUGCAAGGUUAAGCGGAAAAAGCGGAGCCGUAGCGAAAGCGAGUCUGAAUAGGGCGCAUAAGUAACAGGUCGUAGACCCGAAACCAGGUGAUCUACCCAUGUCCAGGAUGAAGGUAAGGUAAUACUUACUGGAGGUCCGAACCCACGCACGUUGAAAAG